rnacentral:lncRNA from 1 species
CAGUAAACAGAUUCACAACAAUGUCAAUUUCAAGAAAGCAGACAACAGUUAAUUAGUCAAUAACAGUACAGCAUCAAUAAUCUUGAAUAUAUGCCACUUUUAACUAAAAUAUAAAGGCACAGAACCAGGACAUAGGAGCACAGAACCAGGACCGUUUUUCUUAUCACCAGCACAGCGUCAGGACAAUUCCGUUUAACGAACUUGCACGACUUUUGCAAUAUAAUAUUGUUGUAAAUAUACUUUGCAUGGACUUAUGAGCAUCAGAGAAAAAUUAAGCAACACAACAGUCGUUUUAUUGCCGUUCUGAUACAAUGUAAACAAACCCACCAGCACAAAAUCAGGACCCACCAGCACCUGACAGGACCAAAUCACCAGCACAGAACGUUCUCUCGCAGGACAACCAUACCCACCGUG